rnacentral:rRNA from 1 species
UUGGGAAUCUUAGACAAUGGGGGAAACCCUGAUCUAGCCAUGCCGCGUGAGUGACGAAGGCCUUAGGGUCGUAAAGCUCUUUCGCCAGGGAUGAUAAUGACAGUACCUGGUAAAGAAACCCUGGCUAACUCCGUGCCAGCAGCCGCGGUAAUACGGAGGGGGUUAGCGUUGUUCGGAAUUACUGGGCGUAAAGCGCACGUAGGCGGACUAUUAAGUCAGAGGUGAAAUCCCGGAGCUCAACUCCGGAACUGCCUUUGAAACUAGAUAGCUAGAAUCUUGGAGAGGCGAGUGGAAUUCCGAGUGUAGAGGUGAAAUUCGUAGAUAUUCGGAAGAACACCAGUGGCGAAGGCGACUCGCUGGACAAGUAUUGACGCUGAGGUGCGAAAGCGUGGGGAGCAAACAGGAUUAGAUACCCCCGUAGUCC